rnacentral:rRNA from 1 species
UACAGAGGGUGCGAGCGUUGUCCGGAAUCACUAGGCGUAAAGGGCGCGUAGGUGGCGCCGCAAGUCCAUGGUGAAAGCUCGAUGCUCAACAUCGAGUCGGCCACGGAGACUGCGGGGCUCGAGCACUGUAGGGGCAGAUGGAAUUCCGGGUGUAGCGGUGGAAUGCGUAGAGAUCCGGAAGAACACCGGUGGCGAAGGCGGUCUGCUGGGCAGUUGCUGACACUGGAGGCGCGACAGCGUGGGGAGCAAACAGGG